rnacentral:rRNA from 1 species
AUUGAACGCUGGCGGCAGGCUUAACACAUGCAAGUCGAGCGAGCGGCGGACGGGUGAGUAAUGUCUGGGAAACUGACUGAUGGAGGGGGCUAACUACUGGAAACGGUAGCUAAUACCGCGUACCAUAAGAUGUGCCCAGAUGGGAUUAGCUAGUAGGUGGGGUAAAGGCUCACGUAUGCGACGAUCCCUAGCUGGUCUGAGAGGAUGACCAGCAAGACUGGAACUGAGACACGGUCCAGACUCCUACGGGAGGGCGCAGUGGGGAAUAUUGCACAAUGGGCGCAAGCCUGAUGCAGCCAUGCCGCGUGGGUGAAUAAGGCCUUCGGGUUGUAAAGCACUUUCAGCGAGGAGGCGUUACUCGCAGAAGAAGCACCGGCUAACUCCGUGCCAGCAGCCGCGGUAAUUC